rnacentral:rRNA from 1 species
GCUUGUCUCAAAGAUUAAGCCAUGCAUGUCUAAGUAUAACUCUUUUACUUUGAAAACUGCGAACGGCUCAUUAUAUCAGUUAUAGUUUCUUUGAUAGUCCCUUACUACUUGGAUACCCGUAGUAAUUCUAGAGCUAAUACAUGCAUCAAUACCCAACUGUUCGCGGAAGGGUAGUAUUUAUUAGGUAUAGACCAACCCUCCCCUUUGGGUUGCGUGCCGAGUCACAAUAACUGCUCGAAUCGCAUGGCUUCACGCCGGCGAUGGUUCAUUCAAAUUUCUGCCCUAUCAGCUUUCGAUGGUAGGAUCGAGGCCUACCAUGGCGUUUACGGGUAACGGAGAAUUAGGGUUCGAUUCCGGAGAGGGAGCCUGAGAGAUGGCUACCACAUCCAAGGAAGGCAGCAGG